UUUCGCAUAUCGUAAAAUUUCUUCAAAUUAGAGGGGUCCAGCAUCUUCAACUUGGAACCUUUAUUCACAAACUGACCAUCAGGUAUCCUUGUACAGUGAAUUUUCUUCUCAUUCUAGGAGUUCAUUGCAGCAGAUUCAGCUUGAAGCUUUAUUUGUAAAUUGACUAAACUAGCAAUUUCUGACAUAUUUUUCUCUCCAGGAUUGGUACUGCAAGAACCAGAUUUUUGAAGUUUUUCACCCACUCUGAUGAUAUGUGGUACUUGGGAGGUCAAAUCUCCAGUGCUCAGCACUCUAAUUGCUACAGUGUAGUCAGCAUUGCC
rnacentral:lncRNA from 1 species